UUGGGUCCUCUCCUGCCUGCCACACAGCCGAACCAUGACACAGCAUUUUGGUCGGUCGGUCAGCGAGGCCAACAUCGUUCUUUUUUUAACAUGGACUUCAUAAAUGCCUGAUUUGUAGGAGCACGUGAGAAUGGGCCAGCAAACGAUGACAUCUCGUAGCCCUUCUGCUCAAACAGCCAUCAAAUUGGCAGAACUGGGUACAAGCAGCACCACAACAGAAAGACUGUGAAAGGGAUGCUGGCCAAACUUCAGUCUCUGAAGGUCUGUCCACGAACCCUACAUUUGAAGAUUGGACUGAAGAUGCACCAUAUUGUCAAAGUGGAGCGCACCCUCCUCAUCACCACAACUCUGGACUAUGGACACCGACGAUGAGGAAGAUUUUUUGUAUUUUGACGACUCCCCCAACAUCGAUGAGGUAGACUGGGCAUGGCCACCCUUCCAAGUCCCUGAGAAAUUACCCAAAUCACUAUGGGUUAAAGAUGAGGACUUACACUAUGUAUCCACAAAAUCGGUUUCAGUA